CUUGUCUGGGAUGUCUCCCAGAAGCAUAGCAUAAGUUUGAAAUAGACAGUAUAGAGCCAAUAUUCAUAACGUCAGCUACAAAAAUGAUACACACAUAUAGACAGCAUAAUCAUAACCAGCAAACCCUAACCUCUCUAUAGACCCCUUCCAUGACCACCUUUGUUCAAUAUUUGCUGCAAAUAUAUUACAGUGGUUGUAACAAUGAUCUAUACAGUUACAGAUCAUGUCAAUAACAUCACAGUAAGAUGCAAACUUAUACUGACCUGGUGAUGUGGCUGACCUUUUGGGGUCAGAAAAACAUUUUGUCAAUGUGCACAGAGUUUUUAAAUAACCUGUCACUGUACUGGACCUAAGUGCUGAUUAGGAGUCAAAGAACUGGAAUGCAAUGAAGGAGGCUGUGUAAUUUCUUUUUCCAGCCUCUCAAUAAGUGGUGUGAGUGAUCAGAAGCACAGUUUGUGACUGGUUGGUGAGUUUAACUUCAGUAUUAACCACCAGAUUUAGUGGCAUCUGCUCUCCCUUUUUCAGCCUCCUUCCCUGAUCUUGGCAUUUUCAGUGAGGACUGCCCCAAGCACACCAGGUCACACUAAGUACUGAAAUUAAAUUAAUAGAAUGUUUUUUAUGACAAAGUCUUAUGAAAUCAACUAAACUCCUUUGUUUUCUUUCAUCUGAGCAACGUUUUCAGUUUCAAAACCUGAUGUGAUCUCCCAGCUGGAACAAGGGGAAGAGUCAUGGGUCCUAGACCUCCAGCGUUCAGAGGAAAGAGAGAUCCUGAGAUCUCCCUGCACAGCAGGUGAUGCAAUAGUAU